rnacentral:lncRNA from 12 species
AUGCUUACCAACACUGCAGGCUUUCAUUCUGCUAGUGGAAUAGCCACAAUGUGGACACAUUCUUCCCUCCCUUCCUGCCUUAUCUUUUUUUUUUUUUUUUUUACCUUUCAAAUCCACUUUUAUUUUUUUUCUCCUCACAUACAGAACAUCUCCCCCCCCGCCCUUCCUGCCUUAUCUGAUAGCUCCUGCUUGCGGCUUAGAGAAUUCUCUCAACACCGUGCCAUCCAUGAUCCCUUCCUUGUGGCCAUGGGAAUAAGGAGGCAAGAGGAGUACAAUGUGUGUGAUCAGAAAUCCCUUCAAAUAAAAGUUAGAGAAAUAUUGGAACCCAGGAAGAGAAGAGGUUCAGGGGGCGUAGCAGUGCGGGGCGGCGCCGCCUAG